AGACAUCUGAGCAAAAUGCCUUGGACCAAGAAGGGAACCUAUGGCAGACAUUUGUGAUGGAGGUGGCGCAGGCAAGGACUGUUCUUCCAUCUGUUGGGAGAGGAUCACAUUCCCAAUAGCUCCUUCAGCCUGAGUCCCAGAACAGGAGAUUCAGGGAGCAGACCUGACUCCGACCGGCAGCCCAGGGCCACGCCCAGCUGACUCCAGACACAUCAACCAUGAUGACUGCCACAUCUAUAGCCCCAUUUAAGAGAAAAUGCACUGCAGCUUCUGGGGAGGGUCGGACUUAAGCAGCCACAUUUGAAGUCACAUACAUGCAGCCCAAUCUCUUCCAGCUACAUCUGAUCGGACCAGAGGCAGACCCUGAGCUAAGAGCAGCUAACCCAGAGGCUGGCCUGAAAAAAGUGAUUAGCUCAUCCAAUCAAAUCCCUCCAAAAUUUGAAUGAAGAAGAACCGAAACUUACAGGUUGUGUAAACAGAGAUGCAGAGAAAAUCAGGCAGAAGCAGAGGAGAGGCACAGUAUUCGUAAGGCGUGACCAGACAGUUCUAGAGUGAAGAUCCAUGAAGCUUGGCCCCAGGAGUUUCUUGUUCAAAGUUCCUGAGAUGUUCUUUCAAUUAGUGCUCAGUCUGAAGUCUCCCCGCCAAGCCCCACACUUACUUACCCAAGCUAACUUGGAAAUAUUCUUGCACACUUACCAUUAACUCUGGAAAAAUUCCUCAGUUAUUCCUCUCCUUCACCUCCAUGGCUCUGCCUGAGAAAGGAAAGGCUGCAGCCACUUCUUGCCCCUGGUACCUUCCCUCCUCAGGCCAGGUUGCUGCACUUGUUUUGAUGACCUUCUGUGAUGCUGUAAUAUACAGUGGAAAUGCAGAGAGAAUCAAUUGAAAUAAAAUACUGCCAAGUGUGUCCCUUUCAAAGUGAAGGGCAGAGAUGUUUUGCACGCUCUUGAUUAGCAUGCACAGCCACAAAAGCAAGCUCAAGAUUCAGUGCUCAGGGCAGACACCUUAAGAAGGUGUGAGAACACGGUGGCCCAAAGGAGGAAGCUGCAGAGGCAUGGAGGGCAAAAAGGGACACCGGACUUCAGAGAAAUAUUGUCUCUUGUGGUAAAUUGAGCACCAAGACUGCUUUUACAUUCAGAGAGGCUAUUCUAAUUUCUUCUGAAAGUGAUAAUAACAAAUGAGGUUAUUAAUAUGCCCCAUUUUGAAAACUGUUUCAUCAUCCUUAAAUGCAAACUGAGUCAUUUGUUUUCAUUUGUUUUUCUUACCAUCCUUGAGCAAUAAAAAGAUUUAAGUCGU